rnacentral:rRNA from 1 species
UACGGGGGGGGGCAAGCGUUGUUCGGAAUUACUGGGCGUAAAGGGUUCGUAGGUGGCCUGCUAAGUCAGACGUGAAAUCCCUCGGCUCAACCGGGGAACUGCGUCUGAUACUGGGUGGCUUGAAUCCGGGAGAGGGAUGCGGAAUUCCAGGUGUAGCGGUGAAAUGCGUAGAUAUCUGGAGGAACACCGGUGGCGAAGGCGGCAUCCUGGACCGGCAUUGACGCUGAGGCGCGAAAGCCAGGGGAGCAAACGGG